GCACUGAGACUUAUUAUCCUGCAGCUUCUGGAGCCCUUCGACUGCUGCUGUUUGAAGAAGCCCAGGCUAGCUUAUUGGAUGGUGAGAGGGAUACGGCCUGGUCACCCCUAUGCCCUGGCCCUCAGCGUGCCAGAUGGGACCAUCUAGUUGCAGGGAAACAAGCUGGGGGCUCCCCUUGUUCUACAUUAUGAGAAAGCUGUUCUGGAGCUUGGAGGAUGUGCUCCACCAAAACAAGGGGCUAAACUGAGAAACAGGAAGACGAGAGAUCCAGAAAAGGAGGUAAAACUUGAGAGAGAGAGUUAAAGUGGAUCCCCAGCAUGACAAAAUGACCCUAGGAUGGCAGCUGUGCUCCAGUUCCAGAGGAUGAGCAGUUUUAAAUGAAACAGGCUACAGAGACCCUGGGGAGAUGUUAAGAAAAUGCAGUUGGUGGAAUACCUGUUACAGGUGUUUUCAGAGACUCUGCAACCUGGACAGAGCUUAAGGAGGCCUCUGGGUCCAACCUACUUCUGAGCCACGGAAGACAAGUGUGAGCAGUCUUAUCCUUAAUCACCCUCCAGGGCUGAGGGGACGCAGCUAAGGCCAGUGCUCACUGGACUCCUUUAGAUACAGUGCCUUCUUGCUGCAUCCUCUGGAGAGAAGGAGCCCUGCGUCCUCAGGGAAGGCAGAAGGGCAGGCAAGCCGGAUACUGUGAUGGUGCCUCUUCCAUUCACAAGGGAGGAGCCCUCACAGCCUUGUCAUCACCUCCUAAAGGCCUUGCCUUUUAAUUUGAUCACAUGGGCCAUGAAGUUUCAACACCUGAAUUUUGGCAGAAAUGCAUUCAAACCACAGCAGACCCAUUAUCCUAUUUCUAAGGAACCUGGGAUAAGACAAGUCCAUAGGACAGGCAUGGACAAGCGUCCUGAGCCCUGGGGCCAGGGGAAAUCCAAGGUAACAAGGGAAAUUGGCGAUCCCAGCCAGGUGCAUGGCUAGAGCAGUUCUUUCCUUCGGAAGGGCAGCGAUGGAAAUUUCAGCUCUACUUUUUCCUUUUCCCGAGCUGUGUGAUCUUGAGCAGCUUCCUUGCAGCUCAUCCUUCAUGUCCUAAAACAGAUGAUACAGCAACAUCAGCAAGGUGGCAGACUAAGGAACUUCAGACACUACUUACUACCCCCAGAAACAUUUUUUUAAAAACAAUUAGAGGACCUUUGGAAAAUAGUGAAAAGGUACAGGAGCCAAGCAACUGCCCAUUCAAGAAAAAGCAACAUUCAAAA
ensembl:lncRNA LINC01721 long intergenic non-protein coding RNA 1721